rnacentral:rRNA from 1 species
AUUGAACGCUGGCGACAUGCUUUACACAUGCAAGUCGAACGGUAACAGGCCUUCGGGUGCUGACGAGUGGCGAACGGGUGAGUAAUGCAUCGGAACGUGCCCAAUCGUGGGGGAUAACGUAGCGAAAGUUACGCUAAUACCGCAUAAGCCCUGAGGGGGAAAGUGGGGGACCGCAAGGCCUCACGCGAAUGGAGCGGCCGAUGUCAGAUUAGCUAGUUGGUGGGGUAAAGGCUCACCAAGGCGACGAUCUGUAGCGGGUCUGAGAGGAUGAUCCGCCACACUGGGACUGAGACACGGCCCAGACUCCUACGGGAGGCAGCAGUGGGGAAUUUUGGACAAUGGGCGCAAGCCUGAUCCAGCCAUGCCGCGUGCGGGACGAAGGCCUCGGUUGUAA